rnacentral:rRNA from 1 species
ACGGAAGGCAGCAGUGGGGGAUAUUGCACAAUGGGGGAGACCCUGAUGCAGCGACGCCGCGUGAGUGAAGAAGUAUUUCGGUAUGUAAAGCUCUAUCAGCAGGAAAGAUAAUGACGGUACCUGACUAAGAAGCACCGGCUAAAUACGUGCCAGCAGCCGCGGUAAUACGUAUGGUGCAAGCGUUAUCCGGAUUUACUGGGUGUAAAGGGAGCGUAGACGGCAUGGCAAGCCAGAUGUGAAAGGCAGGGGCUCAACUCCUGGACUGCAUUUGGAACUGUCAAGCUAGAGUAUCGGAGAGGUAAGUGGAAUUCCUAGUGUAGCGGUGAAAUGCGUAGAUAUUAGGAGGAACACCAGUGGCGAAGGCGGCUUGCUGGACGAUAACUGACGUUGAGGCUCGAAAGCGUGGGGAGCAGACAGGAUUAGAUACCCUGGUA